rfam:Phlebotomus papatasi Contig1297.6, whole genome shotgun sequence.
GCUCCCAUAGCUCAGUUGGUAGAGCAUUCGCCUAGACAAGAGAAAGGCCCCCAGUUCAAGCCUGGAUGGAGGCA